rnacentral:rRNA from 1 species
GAUGAACGCUGGCGGCGUGCCUAAUACAUGCAAGUCGAACGCAUUGUGGUUGAAAUGAUAUGAAGAACUUGUUCAGAUUUGAUUUUCAACAUUGCAAUGAGUGGCGAACGGGUGAGUAACACGUGGGAAACCUACCUCUUAGCAGGGGAUAACAUUUGGAAACAAAUGCUAAUACCGUAUAAUAAUUAAAACCGCAUGGUUUUAGUUUAAAAGAUGGUCUUGCUAUCACUAAGAGAUGGUCCCGCGGUGUAUUAGUUAGUUGGUGAGGUAAUGGCUCACCAAGACAAUGAUACAUAGCCGAGUUGAGAGACUGACCGGCCACAAUGGGACUGAGACACGGCCCAUACUCCUACGGGAGGCAGCAGUAGGGGAUCUUCCACAAUGGACGAAAGUCUGAUGGAGCAACGCCGCGUGUGUGAUGAAGGGUUUCGGCUCGUAAAACACUGUUGUAAGAGAAGAAUGACAUUGAGAGUAACUGUUCAAUGUGUGACGGUAUCUU